rnacentral:rRNA from 2 species
UUGACCUCGGAUCAGGUAGGGAUACCCGCUGAACUUAAGCAUAUCAAUAAGCGGAGGAAAAGAAACCAACAGGGAUUGCCCUAGUAACGGCGAGUGAAGCGGCAAGAGCUCAAAUUUGAAAUCUGGCCCCUCCGGGGUCCGAGUUGUAAUUUGCAGAGGAUGCUUCGGGUGCGGUCCCCAUCUAAGUGCCCUGGAACGGGCCGUCAUAGAGGGUGAGAAUCCCGUCUGGGAUGGGUGGCCGUGCCCGUGUGAAGCUCCUUCGACGAGUCGAGUUGUUUGGGAAUGCAGCUCUAAAUGGGUGGUAAAUUUCAUCUAAAGCUAAAUAUUGGCCGGAGACCGAUAGCGCACAAGUAGAGUGAUCGAAAGAUGAAAAGCACUUUGAAAAGAGAGUUAAACAGCACGUGAAAUUGUUGAAAGGGAAGCGCUUGCGACCAGACUCGCCCGCGGGGGUUCAGCCGGUACUCGUACCGGUGUAUUCCCCCGUGGGCGGGCCAGCGUCGGUUUGGGCGGCCGGUCAAAGGCCCCCGGAAUGUGUCGCCUCUCGGGGCGUCUUAUAGCCGGGGGUGCAAUGCGGCCAGCCUGGACCGAGGAACGCGCUUCGGCACGGACGCUGGCGUAAUGG